UGAGGCUGAUCCCAUUCCAGAGGGCGUUCACGGUCUAGUCCAUCCGCAGCUGUUCCAGGCCGAUGGCAGCUCACCUGGGGACUCACCUAUGUUUACGCCGGCGCUCUUACUUGCUGAGAUACCGGGGUCGUCAUCACAGCCGAGCCAGAAUGCAUACAUGGAGGAGCGUGAUAACGUUGAUUGAGCGGCGUUACGCGCUUUAUUAGCUGAUGAGUGGCCUGUGUGGAAUUUAGAGGGAGCCAGGAUUCUUGACUUCGAUGAGUUUUUGAUCCCGGAUUCGGCGCCAGCGGGUCCACCAGAGCCACCCACUCAGGCAUUUUCUCAUGGGUCUGUCGAGCCAGCGGUGUCUUCCCAUAUGACUACCGAGCCACAGGAUUCGGCGCCAGUGGGUCCACAGGAGCAACCCAUUCAGGAGCAUUCUCAUCAGCUUGCCGAGGCAGAUGUGUCUUCUCAUGAGACUACCGAGGCGCAUGUAAGUUUUUUACUUAAAACUAAUUUUAUUCAAUAUAAGGUAAAUAUUUAUUUAAUUUUUAUAACCUUUACUUGGACUUCAAACAACAUCUCGUCUAGGAAACUACCUCAUAUUCACCAC